AUUCAGUCUUAGGGAUUGCUUUCAUUCAGCUAGGCAAAAAGGCUUUGAGCAGCCCUACAAUCGCCUUCCUCUCAUUUAUUUGUGCUAGAAUUAAGGUUUAUUUGUUUUCUGUUUUCUUCGUCUUCAGAUUGUUUCUCUGUCUUCAUCCAUUUCGCAAACCCUGUCCUCUGUAUCUCAGAAGGAAGUACCUCCAGGGCCUACAUGUCUGCAGCCCGCACAACCUCCUUUGAGUGUGUGUCUCUCAGUCUACUGGAGCUUCUGAAUAUCUCUCAAGCCCUCUGGAGGUGGAAGCAGAAGAGUCAGAAGUUCAAGGUCAUCUUCAGUUACACGAGGAGAUCAAGGCCAUCCUGAGCUACAGGGACACUUGUUAUCAGUUUUAAAUUGAUGAUUCAGUAAAUAAGAAAGCAAAAGUGUAAAUGGAGAGUGACCACAUUGACAUUGUGACGUAAAGCAUGGAUUUAAGGAUGUGUACCAAGCUCUCUAUCAACCUGCUAUUUCAGACUUUUUACUUCAUGGUAUAUGAAAAGAUGAUUCAAGAGACUAUAUUUUAUACUAAUCCUCAGAAAAGACAAACAGUUCUAUCAACUGCAACUUUCUCAUCUGUAAUACAUACAAGAGCUAAGUAAGAGGCUGACUGAAGCAGUCCUUAGGCAAGGCUUCCCUGGGUUCCGUCCUCAGCAAGAGCUUUGGAUGCCUCUCCAGACAUCACAGAACCUAUCUUCUUCUGCUUCCAUUUGGCCCUCGCAUGCCAACAUCCAGGACACUGCAUUCUGCUCUUAAGAUAUCUCUCAGGAACUCAAAGAAUGAUGCCAAGUUCCUGAGCUCCCGAGAGUAAGUAAAGUCCACUUUGAAGAUCCUGCAAGUUGUGCUACUUGAGAGAAGAACUCCCUACCUUGCACAGAAGUGGGGAGAACCUUACAGGUCAGUGCUCACAUAUGGAAUACAGUUAGAGGCCAGAAGAAGGAAAGGAGUUUUGUCUCACCAUACUAGUCGGGUUGAGAUUCGGUUCUGGGCUGGAGAGAUGGCUCAACAGUUAAGAGCACUGGGUGCUCUUCCAGAAAUCCUGAGUUCAAUUCCCAGCAACCACAUGAUUAAUGCAGCUCUCAACCUUCAUCAGAGAACCUUCCUUUGCAUCAGACGACAAACAAUAUAUGUACUCCCAAAUGGCCAAAAUGAAGAAAAUACAUAAUGGUGGAGUGCUAGGCCCUAAAUGUAACAUCUAUAUUAGCUCUCUUCACUCCAAGACUCAGAGAACAUCACAGAGGAGGUGCCAACAUGAUUUGAAGAGACAGAGACAGUGGAGGACUUCUGUGACAUGAAGGGGCUCUUACAUUUUGAGCUUCCUGGAGUUAUUAUUGCCUACAUAAGACUUCAUCAAAAGUCUACUGUGGAUGGGGAGAAGCUCCUGAGCUACCACUGGGUGCCUCUGGGUACUACUGGCAGUUCAUGAAUGCUGGGGCAAUUGGAAUCAUUUCUCUGGGAGUAUGGUCAUUGAUAGGGUUUUCAUAAUGUCACGGGUUGUCCUAUGUCUGUGUGCAGGGAUCUACCUUCAUCAUUCUGCAUUAAAUAUUUAAUUUUCCAUGUAAAUGCCUCUCUGGUUUUUGUGCCCUCCAUAAUUCUUUCACUACAGUGUUACAGUUUUAUUGUAGAGGUUUUUCAUGGCCUCCGUUAGAUUUGUUUCUAUCUAUUUCACUGUGAAUGAUGUUAUCACUGUUGCUGUAGAGGGUUUGUCCUUCCCCUCCCCAGAAGUGAGGACAGAACCUAUGGCUCUGAGCAUGAUAUCAUGUGCUGGGCCACUGGCUUUCACUCCACCCUCCUAUGUAUUAUUUGAUCAGGGGCUAUUGUGAAUUUUUUUUUUUAAAAAAUGUUAGUGUGUUAGUGGUAUGUAUAUAAAAUGUUCCUUUUUACUUGUUGAUUAUGCUUCCUAUAGCUAUUGAAUUUUUCCUGUUUCAAUACAUUUUAGUCAGUUUUUCUGUAUAUAAAAUCUUCCUGCAGAAGAGGAUAAUCUGACAACUCCUUUUCUAAUUGAAAUUAUUAUUAUUAAUUAUUAUUAUUAUUAUUAUUAUAUUCCUUUCUUCUGCUGAUUUCUCUUGUAAAAUUUCCUUUUACUGUUCUGAAUAAAAGCGGCAAAUGU